UUUUAUCAAAAUGUGAGGUUUAAAUUUAGUAUUAAAAAUGCAUAAUUUAAAUCUGCCUCCCUUAUCCAAGAAUUGUAGAAAGCCCAAUAGUGCGUUGGCCCAUUCCAAUUCGUGCCAAUGAAGCCUCCAUUUUUCGAUUCUGGAACACUGUACAAAGCACUCAAAAGCCCGCCAUCGGAGAGAUUCAAAAAGUGAAAGAGCUACAUUUGCAGGUUUCCGAAGGGGGUGCUACUGGCGGCGAUCAAGAUGUCGGUGAGAAGGAAAUUUGGGAGAAAACCACUGAGGGACAUAGCGAACCACAAUUACUGCCGAACUUCCUCCAAAUCUGUCGCUACAGCCAAGAGAAAGGAAGAUGAUAAUAGGUCUAAGGUUGAAGAGCAAGAUGAUUCUCUAGAUCGUCUCCUUCUAGUUCAGUCUGACCUCUCGGCGCUCACUGACCAGAUCGAUGAACUCGUUGUCAAAGCAUUUGAACUGAAGAAAAUAGACGAACAAGGGAGAAAAGAGAUCGAAUCUUUCACUCAUGUCUUGUCUGAUAUGCUAUCUUCUUUGAAGCCCUGGGUCCCCAGGUUUCAGAUGGCGUUCUCUCGUCCAUCAAAAGAUUCUGAUGAUGGUAUAGAACAACCGUUGGCUAGUGAAAGCAAUGCUUUGGUUAAUGAUACGGAAAGCAACGUUAUUGAUAGCCCAGACAAUGCUGGAAUUCAAGAUUUGAUCUCCCCUUCACCCCUCGUAUCAUGGCGUGCUGGAUGCAAUAUUGAGAGGGGAAGACAAUUGUUUUUACUCACUCCUCUUCCUAUUUCUAAAUCACUCUCAUCGAAACAUGCAGCAUACUCUAAAUCUGUACUUGGCGGAAUUACUUCGGGUAUACUCAAGGGUGCACAACCAUGUUUUUUAGCAUGUGGAGAUUUAAACGAGAAUCUACUUGAAGGUAAUGGAGUUGAGCCUAGUGUUAGUAAACCAUUUGGGUCCGAUUUAACCAAACUGGGGGACAAUUUGCUAGAGGGUAAUGAACCUCAGCCUAGUGGUGCUGAGCCUUCUGGGUCUGAUUUAACACAAGUAGGGACAAUUCAUCAGCGACGAUUUGCUUCCCCACCAUUAUUAUCAAUAAAGAAGAAUUGCUCUAUGUUAGUUAUGACACCAUGCUUAAAAAUGUCGCCCCCAAAAUCGUGUGUGCUGCUCGAACCCAUUUCAGAGUCGUCACAAAAAGACAAAAAAAGGAUUUACAAGGCCACACCUUUUCCCGUCGGAGUUCAUGUUUCCUCUUCUGGCAGUGACACUUCUGAUGGGUUGGCUUUGAAGUAUCCAGAACUCCUAGGAAUUCAACAGGCUCACAAAUCAGGAAUUAAAAAGAAGGUUGAAGCUUCUCCGGACUGGUUCAUGUCACCCCCAAAAACAUGUGUUUUACUGGAGCCGUCUGAUUCUCAUUCGGUGGAAAGUGCUAAUUGUGAUGGAUGUUACUACGAAGCCAAGAAGUCUUUCACCCACCAAGAUCCAGUUGGAGUCAGCUUGCCGAUCAUAGAUAACACUCCCAUGUUGAAGGAAUGUGAAAGUGUAUUCCGGGUUGGCAAACGUGCUGGUGAGGAAACUCUUAAGAAAGAACUCUGGCUGAAAUUUGAAGCAGCAUCAGCCAAUCCAUUUCGGUGUGAUCAAUCUCUCCAAAAGACAUCAAAGGGUUUCCUGGACUUGUUGGAUGAGGUUUCAUGUGAUUAGAUGCGGAGCCGAUACACUUGGGAAUGCACACCGCGAAGGGCAUUGCAGCCAGAUGUUGUGCUUGUGCGUACCUCGGCCAGGAGAAAGAAUCUAUUAAGUUCGACACUUUAAGGUACUCCCUAAAAUAUGUGUUGCAUAGACUGAAAUUCCCCUUUCACAUCACUGUCUCAUGUAAUGGUUAGCCUAGAAUCUCACUCUUGUCUUGUCAUUGAUUGACAUAACACCUCAACACAAAUUCUUUUCCCAUAUUCAUAAAGAGGCUUUUCCAACUUCGAAUGCAUUCAAAUGAGCUAGAGCGAGUGCAAAUAAAUGCAAAAAGGUAAUCAAGUUCGAUAUCGAGAGUAAGACUUAGUGCAACUAUUCGAUAUUUUCUAAAAUUCAGGUAUCUAUUAGCCAUUUGAAUUUGGGUGUUGGUUGGUGUUGGCUUGAUUGCUGUUGAGAAUACUAAUAACAAAAAGAAGUUUCUCAAAUGUCAUUUUAUAUUGUUUCUUGAAUAAAAUUUUAC